AUGAACUUUUUAAAUAAUCUAAUCUACAAUCAGGAUUUUUAUUUUACUUUAUUAUUUCUCUUUUUUAUUUUACUUUAUGAUUUCUCUCUCAUACACUGUCUACAUCUUUUGUAUUUAUCUUUGUUAAAGCUUCUCCUGUUUGUUCCAGCCAUUCUGCCAGCCUGUUUAGUGAUGCCAUCAUCCACUGCAUUAAUAGCCCUCCCAGACUUGUGCCUGCAUCCUUCCGGAUUAGGCAUUAUCUCCAUUUUAUAAAGAAACUGAAGCAUGUCUAUAAAUAUACAGCUAUGGAGAAGUGGAUCUUUAAUUCAAACACUAAACUGCAUCAGCUGUUGAAAUAUUGGAACCAUCUUUGUUUUGCUAAUAGUGGUAAGGCUGCCUUACUCAUCUUUGCAUCUUAUAGAAUAAACUGCAUAACUAGAGAUCAGCAAAUGAAUUUAAUGUAGAUAUAAUAUGACUUUUUAAUGAAUUGAAUAAUGUGAUUAUUCCUUAGACCCUCAAUUAUAAAUAAAAGAAUCUCAUACUUGUUGUCUCUAUAAUCCCAGAUCUCAUACUAAGUGUUUAACACAGAUCUCACACUAAGUACUUAAUUAGUAAGUAUGUGCUCAUUGAUUGACUGAAACAAUUGUCAGCUUCCCAUUAAUACUUUCCAUUUGGACUAGUUAUUUGUAUAUUCACCUUCUAAUAUCAGAGGUAAAAUAUCCUACAUAAAGGCAAAGACUUUUCUGGAAAAAGAAGAGAGCUAUUUAUUUUAAUUUUUCUGGGUUUACCUGAUAAUUUUCAACUUGGGUAAAGAAUAAAGCAUUUUAAAGUUAUUGAAAGCUGACACAUACCAUAAAGUAGCAGAAAGAAAACAUUGCUACCAGCUAGUCAUUAUGAUUUUAUAUGAUUUGGUUAUUGUCUUCUUUUUAACACAUUAUUAUUUUCAGGUGCCAGGACAACCAUAAUUUUACAUGAGUUUGUACCAGAUUUCUUUCUCUGCCUUUAUGUAUUUUUUAAACUUUCGAUUCUUUUUAAUAUUCUUCUAUCCUCUUAUUUUGUUUUAAAAAGUUGCUUCAUCUCUGUUCUGGUAUGUUCUUUAUCUUUUAAAAUAAUGUCUUAUUUAGUGUUACAUGCAGUUUUGUAGGGUUUUUGAUGUGGCUGUUAACUGUUUCUUUCUUCUCGAUUGUCCAGAUGUUUUCACUUUACAACUUUAACUGGACCUCCUUUUACCUCUAACAUCCCUGACACUGUUUUUAGCAUAAAUGCUUAAGCAUCAAGUGAUGCUUAAGUGGACUUGUAGAGUGGUAGCAGCCAGUCUUUUUACAAUCUCAGUCCUAAUCUAUGUUUGUUUUCUUUAUUUUUUUUCAGUUCCACUUUAAUGGUUUUUGUCCUUUAUUAUUUUCUUCCAAAAAGAUCACACAUUUUCUCUAACUUCCCAUUCUUAAUUAUGUAAUGCAUUUAACACCCAGUCUGUGAUAUAUCUUUACCCCUGUUUCUGUGUAACUUCCAUAUAAUUGUGUGUUGAUGAAAAAGAUGUUUUUCAUUUCUUUUUCAAUUAUGUAUCUUUAUAUAAAUUCAUCUAUUGUUAAUUAAGCACUUUGAAUAGAAUGACCAGGUAAUUAAAUCUGUCAAGCAUAAGCUAUUUUGUUAUUAUUGCUUUUAUAUUCAAGAGCAAUUAAAAUUGAAGAUAUUAGUUAUAUCAGGAUGAGUUUCAUUUUAUCCAAUGGAUUACUCUCUUAAAAAUUGUCAAGCUAAUUACUAGGUACUUCAGCAUUGGCAAAAUGAUUGUUUUAAAAAUAAGUUUUGGUGGCUGGCAAGAAGGCCGAAUAGGAACAGCUUUGGUCUGUAGCUCCCAGCGAGAUCAACACAGAAGGUGGGUGAUUUUUGCAUUUCCAACUGAGGUCCUCAGCUCAUCUCAUUGGGACUGAUAAGACAGUGAUAAGACAGUAAUACAGCACACUGAGGGCAAGCAGAAACAAGGUGGGCCAUUGCCUCACCUGGGAAGUGCAAGGGGUUGGGGAACUCCCUCUUCUAGCCAAGGGAAACUUAAGGGACUGUGCCUUGAGGAACUAUGCAUUCUGGCUGGAACACUAGGCUUUCCCCAUGGUCUUCACAACUGGCAGACCAGGUAAUUCCCUC
rnacentral:lncRNA from 1 species